UAACAUUGUGUAUAAUGUUUAUCAUUAUAUAUAAUGUGAAAUAAUUGAUUAAUUUAAAUAUAAUUCUAGAUAAAAUAUUGAUAAUGACAGCUUUUAUCUAAAAGUCUUGACCAAAUCUUGUGCCAGCAGUCGCGGCAACACAAGGAAGACAAGUGUUAUUCAUCUUAAAUCGGUUUAAAGGGUACCUAGACGGUAAAUUAGGCCUAAAAGGCACGUUUUUACUAGAGUUAUACAUGCAGGAGGAAAAUGUCAGUAUUACCAGAGUAGAGAUAAAAUUUUUUGAUACUGUUAAGACUGGUAAAGGCAAAAGCAAACCUCUAUAUAUUAACUGACGUUGAGGGACGAAGGCUUGGGGAGCAAACAGGAUUAGAUACCCUAAUAGUCCAGGCAGAGAAUUAUGAGUGUCAUAGACUAUAUAUAUAUUCUAUAAAUGAAAGUGUAAGCACUCCACCUUAAGAGUAAUGUGGCAACGCAGGAACUGAAAUCAUUAGACCGUUUCUGAUACCAGUAGUGAAGUAUGUUAUUCAAUUUGAUGACCCACAGAGAAUCUUACCACAAUCUGAAUAUGUUUAAAUUAUAAUCUAAAAAUUUAAUAAUACUAGCGUUGCAUUGCUGUCUUCAGUUAAUGUUGUGAAAUUUGGUUAGAUUCAUUAAAUUAACGUAAUCCCAUAUUUUAUUUAAAUAUUUAUAAAGUAGUUCACCGCUAUAUUGGAUAUCGAUAACAGGGAGUAAGACAAGUCAUAAUGACCUAAGUAUUGUGGGCUAUAGACGUGCCACAUUUGCCUAAACAAUAGGAUGCAAAAUUGUAAAUUUAG
rnacentral:rRNA from 1 species